GACAGAGGGUGCAAACGUUGUUCGGAAUUACUGGGCGUAAAGCGCGUGUAGGCGGCCAACUAAGUCGGGCGUGAAAUCCCACGGCUCAACCGUGGAAGUGCACUCGAAACUGGAUGGCUAGAGUCCUGGAGAGGAAGGUGGAAUGCUUGGUGUAGAGGUGAAAUUCGUAGAUAUCAAGCGGAACACCGGUGGCGAAGGCGGCCUCUGGACAGUGACUGACGCUGAGG
rnacentral:rRNA from 1 species